rnacentral:rRNA from 1 species
AACGAACGCUGGCGGCAUGCCUAACACAUGCAAGUCGAACGAAGGCUUCGGCCUUAGUGGCGCACGGGUGCGUAACGCGUGGGAAUCUGCCCCUCGGUUCGGAAUAACAGUUAGAAAUGACUGCUAAUACCGGAUGAUGACUUCGGUCCAAAGAUUUAUCGCCGAGGGAUGAGCCCGCGUAAGAUUAGGUAGUUGGUGGGGUAAAGGCCUACCAAGCCGACGAUCUUUAGCUGGUCUGAGAGGAUGAUCAGCCACACUGGGACUGAGACACGGCCCAGACUCCUACGGGAGGCAGCAGUGGGGAAUAUUAGACAACGGGCGAAAGCCUGGUCCAGCAAUGCCGCGUGAGUGAUGAAGGCCUUAGGGUUGUAAAGCUCUUUUACCAGGGAUGAUAAUGACAGUACCUGGAGAAUAAGCUCCGGCUAACUCCGUGCCAGCCGCCGCCGUAA